CCUACGGGUGGCAGCAGUGAGGAAUAUUGGUCAAUGGACGCAAGUCUGAACCAGCCAAGUAGCGUGCAGGAUGACUGCCCUAUGGGUUGUAAACUUCUUUUAUGUGGGAAUAAACUGUUCCACGUGUGGCUUUUUGCAUGUACCAUAUGAAUAAGGAUCGGCUAACUCCGUGCCAGCAGCCGCGGUAAUACGGAGGGUCCGAGCGUUAUCCGGAUUUAUUGGGUUUAAAGGGAGCGUAGGUGGCUUGUUAAGUGAGUUGUGAAAGGUUGCGGCUCAACCGUAAAAUUGCAGUUUGAACUGGCAGUCUUGAGUACAGUAGAGGUGGGCGGAAUUCGUGGUGUAGCGGUGAAAUGCUUAGAUAUCACGAAGAACUCCGAUUGCGAAGGCAGGUCACUGUACUGCAACUGACACUGAGGCUCGAAAGUGUGGGUAUCAAACAGGAUUAGAUACCCUAGUAGUC
rnacentral:rRNA from 1 species